UGCUAAAAUUGGAACAAUACAGAGAAGAUUAGAAUGGCCCCUGAGCAAGGAUGACAUGCAAUUUUGUGAAGCAUUUCAUAUUAAA
rnacentral:snRNA from 1 species